CUCCGGGUCAGACGCAGACGUGCUGGACCACGGCUGGUUUGGAGGAAGAGAAUUGGAGCCGAGAUCUUACAGGGCCCUCCUGAGGGUGUCCAGCCACAAGAGUCUGCUUAUGAAUACCUGGGGGUCCUGCUGAAGUCCAGGAAGCAAGCUGAGUCACAGGAGAUGAAGCAGACGAUGCCUUGGAAAGCCGAGUCAUGUCCACGAGGCAGUGCAUCUGUCAAGAAGACUUUGAGGACUCCACACUCUCUGCCUUCUCUGGAAUCAGGAAGUCCCGACGCAUUUCCCCUCCCGAAGGAGAUGCUGGAGACUUCAGUGGCUUCUGAUCAACAUCCGGACCUGGAAUCUUAGUACCGAGAUUAGGCAAAGAAGUGGUCCUGCCAAAUUCUGCCCAGGACUGAUAGCACCUGGAGUACUCUCUGGCUGGCCACCGCACCGCCAUAAACACUGGUGUGUCCACGUGUUCAUAGCCCAAGUGGGAGGCCCCUGGAAACUGUCAGUUGAUGGAAGCAGCCCAGUGCAGCAAAAGAGAAGGGGCUCUCACCAUUAACAGGGACCACGUGAUACUCACUUCCCGA